UUUACUGUCAGUAACUGUCCCAAAGGAGCAAAUAAGGAAGCUGUAACAUAUUGCGUACAGUAAAUCAAGGGGACUUCAAUGGAAAAACGAAACCUCCCCGAGGCAAGCAUCUUUAAAAUUACAGGCAACACUUUGUACAAAUAUGUGUACAAAGGACUAGAUAUGCACUCGGUUAAGCAACUCAAAAUGGUUUUGAUUUGAAGAUAUAUUUAUUAGAAUUUAUUUAUUGUGUUUUGUGAGCGGUAAUGGGGGAGGGGGUCAUCUUGCUGGGCUCACCAGCAACUGCUGUGCAACUUUGGAUUCAUCGUCUGUGAUGCAAAACAGGCAAAAGUGGAGAGAUGGGGGGAGAGAGCGAGCGCCGAGUUGGUGCUUUGUGAAGUUCCAUAUUGCUCUGGAUUUCAGAGACAGAUGCUGCUUCAUGUACCCAGGAUCUCUUUCAAAUUCAGCUAAUUCAGAUCAGGAAGCUGACCCAACUCAUCAUUUGUUGCACAACGACUGGAGCUGGCAGGACAGGGAACUGCAGCCAGAAACCGCAAGUAAUGCUCGUUUGGCACCAAUAUGGUCUUCGGUGGACUUCAGGAUUUGAUUUUAUAAUGCACUAAUUAGCACCAAGGACAGUGGUUAAUAAAAAAGCACCUUCAGUAGUUUGAAAAACAACAUGGCGUGGUAUUCCAGGACCCAGCUGCAGAUGGUCAUGCUUAGAACCAUCUAAGCAUCCUAUGGAAAGGAUUGUUAGUUUAAACUGACCACGAGAGGUGGUUUGCCACCACUAUAGGUAGAAAAGCGAGGCAUAGAAUAACUGAAUAAAACACAAAAUAAAACUGUAAGGUAAAGUCAAUAGAGAAUUCCCAUUGUGCUUCCUUUUACCAAUUUCUCCAGUAUUUUUCAGAACAGACUAGAAAAAUAUUAAAAAAAAAAAAGUUUAAUGACAAUUUACAAAUAUACAAUACUUACAUUUUCAAAAGUUACAAAAAUGGUACUUUAACAGAAACCAAAAGCUUCAUCUGACCUUUGGUACAUUUCAAAAUUAGUUAUUUACAAAGAAAAAAAUCACAGUCACUUUUCAUAGUGUCAAUGUUUACAUGUAAGCAUCCCUCAGUUAAAAAACAUCUCACAGCUUACCCACAGGCACUUUUUGCAGUUUGAGCUCUGCACCCAUCCAUCACAUUGAGAAUUCUAUCAGCCCCCGUUAAGCUGACAUGACAUUGCAUUAUUAUGUUUUAACAGACUUUAGUUUGAAGAAUAUGUAUAACCAUCACGCUAAACUGAUUCACAGUUGGUGACAUUUCACCUGGUGCAUUUUGUAUUGCUUAUGGCUUGGUACAAUGACACAGGCUUCCUUUUCUAAUUAGCUUGUAAUACACGUUAAGAAAAAAAAAAAUGGACUAAUUUUAUUAGGUAGUAUAAUUCCAUCUCUUCAUAGAGGAAAUUAAAAACAAAAGUGUUCUUCCCAUGCUGUUAUUUCACCUCAUGAAAUUUGUAUAUUAAACCCUUUCUUCACCAUGCACAAUUUUUGCCUAAAGGUAACAGACAAACAGAUGAAGGCUUCCAAAACCUAUUCAUUUCUAUUACUUUUCCCAUUAGUGGACGUUUUCUAGUUUGAACUUAUUUUAACUCAAACUUUAGAAAUUUCCCUUGAGAGCAAACACAAGUAUUGUUUUGUCUGUGUGUGCUUGAGUGUCUUCCUUUAGUUUAAAAUAUUUCCAAUAAAAGAAAUACAGCCAAAAUACAUACAGCCCAUUUUUGAAGCCUCUAACUUAUUAGCGUACACAAUUUUUUCACGUGGUCAUGAUUUUUAGAGCAUGUAACUUCAAUGCGUAACAGAAUGGGAACUCAAAAAGCCUUGAAAUUCAUUGUUUUGAGGACAGUUUGGGACUACACGUUUCCCACAGGUAUGUUUUAGUUAAGACUAAAUACCACCAGAAUAUUAGUUACGGUUCAGGAUCAGGAUCUUUUUUUAAACCAAGAAAUAAGAAAAGCUUGCUGUCAGCAACUGUGGGUGCAGCUUAAAAUGUCUUCCAUCGUUACAACAUUGCCCUCCCAAGAACUUAGAAACUC
rnacentral:lncRNA from 1 species